UACGUAGGGUGCGAGCGUUGUCCGGAAUUAUUGGGCGUAAAGGGCUCGUAGGCGGUUUGUCACGUCGGGAGUGAAAACUCGGGGCUCAACCCCGAGCCUGCUUCCGAUACGGGCAGACUAGAGGUACGCAGGGGAGAAUGGAAUUCCUGGUGUAGCGGUGAAAUGCGCAGAUAUCAGGAGGAAUACCGGUGGCGAAGGCGGUUCUCUGGGCAUUACCUGACGCUGAGGAGCGAAAGUGUGGGGAGCGAACAGG
rnacentral:rRNA from 1 species